UGCGGACGUGGCGAAAUUGGUAGACGCACCAGAUUUAGGUUCUGGCGCCGCGAGGUGUGAGAGUUCGAGUCUCUCCGUCCGCACCAC
rnacentral:tRNA from 1 species